AACAUGGAGCCUGAAUGCCAAUCACUGGACUUACAUCAGCAUCCGAACCAGAAAACACACACAGGAAACCAACUGCCAAUCGCUGGACUUAUGUCGGACUCCAACCAGAAAACACCUACACUGGAACCCGAAUGCCACUCGAGGGACUUACAUCAGCUUCCAAGCACACAACAACACACACAGAGGGGUUGAAGACACAAAGGUGGAAAAAGAAAAAAAGGCGCCCGGAGAGAUCAGCUCAUCUCCUGCCUACGUACCUCAUCUGGUAUGAGGAUCAGGGCGACGUAGUUCCCCUACGCAGGGAAAAAGGACUAGCCUAACCAGAUAACAG
rnacentral:lncRNA from 1 species